rnacentral:rRNA from 1 species
UACGUAGGGUGCAAGCGUUGUCCGGAAUUAUUGGGCGUAAAGAGCUCGUAGGCGGUCUGUCGCGUCUGCUGUGAAAACCUGGGGCUUAACCCCGGGCCUGCAGUGGGGUACGGGCAGACUAGAGUGUGGUAGGGGGAGACUGGAAUUCCUGGUGUAGCGGUGAAAUGCGCAGAUAUCAGGAGGAACACCGGUGGCGAAGGCGGGUCUCUGGGCCAUAACUGACGCUGAGGAGCGAAAGGCGUGGGGAGCGAACAGG